GCUCCUCCUCUGCUCAACUGGACAUUAGCAGGGCCGUUUCUCACGCUUCUCCUUCCUCUCUCCCCACUGCUGGACAGCAGCCGCUGUCCUCUUUCUUCUCCUCCCCUCUGGGUUCAUGCCCCAAGGCACCGCAACCUCGCGCGCUGGGCUCAGCUUUGCCCUGUGGCAGUGCCACCGGAGCCAGAUCAGAUUGCUGGCAUCUGCCUUGGGGCAGCCCUGCCUUCUCCUCAGAGGCCACCGUCAACCUCCACUGACGGCACCUACACCCCCUACACGUCUAUAGGAACACACGUCUUGUAACACCUGAGCACGUCCUGCUCCAAAGGGACUAGCCAGCCGGUCCGAGGGAGAUGGCAGAAAAUGACAGCUGCUAAAACAAAGGCCGCUCAGCCAAUCACUGAGCGCUACGCAAACCCGUGGCUUACAAAGUGCCACAAAAUGGAGGCUCCCCCCUAUGGAAUGUGGACUGAAACAAAAUGGCGCCCCUGCAGUUUCACAAAAUGGCGGCAGCUCCCUGUGAAAGGCAGACUGAAAGAAAAUGGCGCCUCCCUAUAUAGGUAAAGGGGAGGGAUUUCCUGUCCGGGCCACCCCUCCCUUUGGGCAGGCCCAGUAGCGCUGGGACCUCCCCUUCACUCCCAAAACAUUCCUUGCCCUGGCAUGCACUCUGCGCAGUGUGCCUCCAGCUGGUAGCUGGGAAGAGCUGCAGGAUGGAGGCGCCGCUCAGCAGAGCACCACCACCCGCAGAAGCAGCAGCAGCAGCAGCAGCUGCACGCUCCACACUGCUCGGUGUCUCGCCGGCCGAGCGGUAGGGGGAGCUCAUCUGCCCGCUGUGUGUAGUCAGGUGAGCCUGAAGCGGUAAAGUCGGCGAGCGGGACCCCAGAUAGCGGUGAGCGUGGGGAGGUGUUUGUUGGCCCCUUUCUAGGCGGCCAGGUGGGCCCUUCCUGUUCUUCACCGGGAAGGUGAGAGAACAAGUGACCUGCACACCCUGACCGUGUUUGUGCGAUUUGAACUGCUGUGGUGCUUGUGUCCAGGUGCUUUCUUUUCUCGGCGUUACAGGUCACGUGCCGGGCAAGAAAACACAGCCGCUGCAAAAACAAAUGCGGCUGGUAGAACAGUCUUGUGCCCACCUGGUCCACGGGUCACUUAGUGAUGGCCUUAAGCAAUCCUUCCGCUUGCCAUAAGCGCACGCCGGGAGUCACCUGAGCUUUCGGCACAAAGGCUGGGGCAGAUGUAACCACCACUUUCUGCUGCUGAGGAGCUCCUCCAACCAAUGCUGUCUUUCCUGGGUGUGCCUGCUGAAUUUCUGCAUUCACGCAGUUCAGCAAAAGCUUGUCUGGAAAGAACAGACUGCCCCGUUGACGCCCACGCUUUUAGGAGUACGUACACGUAUCUAAUGUUGUUAUUAUCUUGAUACACGUGUGUCUGUUUGCUAGCGUUGUCGUGGUUUAGCCCCGCAGACUGAUAAACAGCCCUGUCUCACCGGCCCCAGGUCGGGAGCGGGGACAAAGGCGGGAAGGCAACGGUGCGAGAACUCAGGGGGCUGAGAGCAAGACACCGUACUAGGGAAAGCAAAAACCAGGCCCGCACAACCAGGAAAACGGGGGACACAUUCCCUGCAUGCCAUCGGCAGGCCGAUAUUCAGCCACAUCCAGGAACAGCGCGCUCAGUGCACGUAACCAUCUCUUGGGAAGGCAAGAGCAUCCAUCCCACCAUGACCCAUUCCUCCUGCUUGACACACGCUUUCAUUGCCGAGCGUGACAUCCCGGCCCGUUUGGGCCGGCUGUGUGGCUCCGUCUCCUGGCUGUGGCUGCUCCCAGCUUCUGCUCUGUCCCCUGCCUCCUCGCUGGAUGAACAGCACAAGAAGCAGAAAAGUCCUUGGCUCUGUGCAAGCACUGCUCUGCAGCAGCCAAAAGCACGCGUGUGUUAGCACCUCUGUUUUCACGAAAAGAAUCCAAUAACCAGCACCCGUGAGACUCUGCCAGGCCACGGCACUCAAUCCCAGGCCAAAUCACAACAACUAAAGUACUGCAGUCAGAGAGCAGUGCAGUCUCGGGAGCACCUACUUGUAAGGAAAUGAAAUAGAUUUACUAGCAUGUACCAAGUGCGCUCUCUAGAUGUCGAUGAGAGUGCAUUUUGCUGUACGGCUCCCAGCUUGGCCGGCAGCCCCUUGCCAUCACAGCCCCCCUCUAACUCUCUGUCCUCUGCAGGAUCGGGUGCACAGUAAGUUGGGCAAUCUCCAGCGUUAACACUAACACAGGGAGCUCACUAUACCAAUCACCCUCACAGGCAAAACAAUCUCAACGCGCACUGAGUGGAUUUACAUUACUGCCAAUUGCAAACAGCGGCGGACAGCAAGGAACAAAACCACUUUCCACCUCUCCUCCUCUCGCUACUUCCCAGGCUCCCUUUCUCUCCUUAAUACUCAGUUCCCAGACCUCACCUCCCCACGUGCCUGCCUCGGGACCCACAGCCAUCACAGGCGGUCCGUCACAGCUCCUCCCUGAUGCUCCUUCCUCCUAAAACUUCUCCCCAGCACCCACGCGGGCAAACGGAGGGCUGCUGCUUCCCUCGGGACACAUCAGCCUGCUCUGGCAUGCUCUCCUCCUUGGGCUGCAGGGGAAGCUCUGCUCCAGCUCCUGGAGCACCUCUUCCCGCUCCUCCCGCUCCUCCUGCUCUGCCUCCUCCUCCUCCCGGUCCUCAUCCUUCUCCCACCUCAGCCUGCCCCUCCUCUUGCCCCUCCUCUCCCUCCUCCUCCUGCUCCUCCUCCCGACCCACCUCCUGCUCCUCCUCUGCUCAACUGGACAUUAGCAGGGCCGUUUCUCACGCUUCUCCUUCCUCUCUCCCCACUGCUGGACAGCAGCCGCUGUCCUCUUUCUUCUCCUCCCCUCUGGGUUCAUGCCCCAAGGCACCGCAACCUCGCGCGCUGGGCUCAGCUUUGCCCUGUGGCAGUGCCACCGGAGCCAGAUCAGAUUGCUGGCAUCUGCCUUGGGGCAGCCCUGCCUUCUCCUCAGAGGCCACCGUCAACCUCCACUGACGGCACCUACACCCCCUACACGUCUAUAGGAACACACGUCUUGUAACACCUGAGCACGUCCUGCUCCAAAGGGACUAGCCAGCCGGUCCGAGGGAGAUGGCAGAAAAUGACAGCUGCUAAAACAAAGGCCGCUCAGCCAAUCACUGAGCGCUACGCAAACCCGUGGCUUACAAAGUGCCACAAAAUGGAGGCUCCCCCCUAUGGAAUGUGGACUGAAACAAAAUGGCGCCCCUGCAGUUUCACAAAAUGGCGGCAGCUCCCUGUGAAAGGCAGACUGAAAGAAAAUGGCGCCUCCCUAUGUAGGUAAAGGGGAGGGAUUUCCUGUCCGGGCCACCCCUCCCUUUGGGCAGGCCCAGUAGCGCUGGGACCUCCCCUUCACUCCCAAAACAUUCCUUGCCCUGGCAUGCACUCUGCGCAGUGUGCCUCCAGCUGGUAGCUGGGAAGAGCUGCAGGAUGGAGGCGCCGCUCAGCAGAGCACCACCACCCGCAGAAGCAGCAGCAGCAGCAGCAGCUGCACGCUCCACACUGCUCGGCGUCUUGCCGGCCGAGCGGUAGGGGGAGCUCAUCUGCCCGCUGUGUGUAGUCAGGUCACGUGCCGGGCAAGAAAACACAGCCGCUGCAAAAACAAAUGCAGCUGGUAGAACAGUCUUGUGCCCACCUGGUCCACGGGUCACUUAGUGAUGGCCUUAAGCAAUCCUUCCGCUUGCCAUAAGCGCACGCCGGGAGUCACCUGAGCUUUCGGCACAAAGGCUGGGGCAGAUGUAACCACCACUUUCUGCUGCUGAGGAGCUCCUCCAACCAAUGCUGUCUUUCCUGGGUGUGCCUGCUGAAUUUCUGCAUUCACGCAGUUCAGCAAAAGCUUGUCUGGAAAGAACAGACUGCCCCGUUGACGCCCACGCUUUUAGGAGUACGUACACGUAUCUAAUGUUGUUAUUAUCUUGAUACACGUGUGUCUGUUUGCUAGCGUUGUCGUGGUUUAGCCCCGCAGACUGAUAAACAGCCCUGUCUCACCGGCCCCAGGUCGGGAGCGGGGACAAAGGCGGGAAGGCAACGGUGCGAGAACUCAGGGGGCUGAGAGCAAGACACCGUACUAGGGAAAGCAAAAACCAGGCCCGCACAACCAGGAAAACGGGGGACACAUUCCCUGCAUGCCAUCGGCAGGCCGAUAUUCAGCCACAUCCAGGAACAGCGCGCUCAGUGCACGUAACCAUCUCUUGGGAAGGCAAGAGCAUCCAUCCCACCAUGACCCAUUCCUCCUGCUUGACACACGCUUUCAUUGCCGAGCGUGACAUCCCGGCCCGUUUGGGCCGGCUGUGUGGCUCCGUCUCCUGGCUGUGGCUGCUCCCAGCUUCUGCUCUGUCCCCUGCCUCCUCGCUGGAUGAACAGCACAAGAAGCAGAAAAGUCCUUGGCUCUGUGCAAGCACUGCUCUGCAGCAGCCAAAAGCACGCGUGUGUUAGCACCUCUGUUUUCACGAAAAGAAUCCAAUAACCAGCACCCGUGAGACUCUGCCAGGCCACGGCACUCAAUCCCAGGCCAAAUCACAACAACUAAAGUACUGCAGUCAGAGAGCAGUGCAGUCUCGGGAGCACCUACUUGUAAGGAAAUGAAAUAGAUUUACUAGCAUGUACCAAGUGCGCUCUCUAGAUGUCGAUGAGAGUGCAUUUUGCUGUACGGCUCCCAGCUUGGCCGGCAGCCCCUUGCCAUCACAGCCCCCCUCUAACUCUCUGUCCUCAGCAGGAUCGGGUGCACAGUAAGUUGGGCAAUCUCCAGCGUUAACACUAACACAGGGAGCUCACUAUACCAAUCACCCUCACAGGCAAAACAAUCUCAACGCGCACUGAGUGGAUUUACAUUACUGCCAAUUGCAAACAGCGGCGGACAGCAAGGAACAAAACCACUUUCCACCUCUCCUCCUCUCGCUACUUCCCAGGCUCCCUUUCUCUCCUUAAUACUCAGUUCCCAGACCUCACCUCCCCACGUGCCUGCCUCGGGACCCACAGCCAUCACAGGCGGUCCGUCACAGCUCCUCCCUGAUGCUCCUUCCUCCUAACACUUCUCCCCAGCACCCACGCGGGCAAACGGAGGGCUGCUGCUUCCCUCAGGGACACAUCAGCCUGCUCUGGCAUGCUCUCCUCCUUGGGCUGCAGGGGAAGCUCUGCUCCAGCUCCUGGAGCACCUCUUCCCGCUCCUCCCGCUCCUCCUGCUCUGCCUCCUCCUCCUCCCGGUCCUCAUCCUUCUCCCACCUCAGCCUGCCCCUCCUCUUGCCCCUCCUCUCCCUCCUCCUCCUGCUCCUCCUCCCGACCCACCUCCUGCUCCUCCUCUGCUCAACUGGACAUUAGCAGGGCCGUUUCUCACGCUUCUCCUUCCUCUCUCCCCACUGCUGGACAGCAGCCGCUGUCCUCUUUCUUCUCCUCCCCUCUGGGUUCAUGCCCCAAGGCACCGCAACCUCGCGCGCUGGGCUCAGCUUUGCCCUGUGGCAGUGCCACCGGAGCCAGAUCAGAUUGCUGGCAUCUGCCUUGGGGCAGCCCUGCCUUCUCCUCAGAGGCCACCGUCAACCUCCACUGACGGCACCUACACCCCCUACACGUCUAUAGGAACACACGUCUUGUAACACCUGAGCACGUCCUGCUCCAAAGGGACUAGCCAGCCGGUCCGAGGGAGAUGGCAGAAAAUGACAGCUGCUAAAACAAAGGCCGCUCAGCCAAUCACUGAGCGCUACGCAAACCCGUGGCUUACAAAGUGCCACAAAAUGGAGGCUCCCCCCUAUGGAAUGUGGACUGAAACAAAAUGGCGCCCCUGCAGUUUCACAAAAUGGCGGCAGCUCCCUGUGAAAGGCAGACUGAAAGAAAAU